rnacentral:lncRNA from 1 species
GCCUCUGUCUCUGGGCUCUGGCUCCACAGGCCCUGCGGGAUGUUGGAAAUCAGCCUUUCUCUGGGCUGGGGGAAGAAGGACAGAGCCUCAGCCCUGGGAACAUUGGAGCCCCCUGCGCCGCACACACAGCUCGAAGGUGGGACUGACUGUCGAUUCGCCUGGUGAGAAAUGCUGAAACAGUUUCUCAAAGCUGCAUUUGCCCAGUGGUUUGGAUUCUCUUUGGCUGUACCCUGAGCCCACCUUCGGUCGGCCCACAGGGUCCCCCCAUUCCCUACUCACCCAAUGUCCAGUGUUUGCCCUGACGUCGAUGUCGGAGGAAGAGGAAAACGAGGAGGAGGAGGAGGAGCAGUAGGACGACGGCCACCAAGACGCCGGUCACAAACCCCAGGUGCCUUCCCAGACCUUGAGCACGAUGACGUCAGGAAUAGGGGUGAUGUCAUUGAAAUGAGCGCCUACUGUGUGCAGAGCCGAGACCCGGAGCUGCAGGGAAAGAGCCUGACCGUCCUGAACCACGGCGCUGCUCCCCUCCCCUGCCCCAGGUCACCGUCUCUGCUGCAGCCAACAUCAGAGCCACACUGGAGGGUCAGCUUCUCCCCAGGGGCCACGACAAGAACCGGCUGCACUGAGAGUGAUGGCUUCUUAGAAACACCUGGGAAAAGGUGGUCAUGGUUUCCAGGAGCCGACCCUCAGGCUUCCCCACAAACCCUCCCUCUCCCCCGGGGCCUCACCACUGCUGAUCUUCCUGUGUCUCUGGCCCCAGGAGCCCUGAGCCCUCUUGCCCCAACAUCAUCCCCCCUGGAGCUGCCCUGAGACAUGGCUGCUCCCCACCUGCCUGGAGACUCAGGGAAACUCAGGGAACUCCAGGCAAUGCUGUGAAUUUCUCACCUGGGACCAGGAGCUCCAGGAGAUCACUGGGUAAAGACCACACAUAGGGAGUGCGCGAGUCAUAACCAUAGCACCUGUACAACCACCUGCGACUUGGGCUCACAGGGCCCAUGGAGAAGAUGGCGCGGGACGACCCA